rnacentral:rRNA from 1 species
UAAGGAAUCUUCCACAAUGGGCGAAAGCCUGAUGGAGCAACGCCGCGUGCAGGAUGAAGGCCUUCGGGUCGUAAACUGCUUUUAUAAGUGAGGAUUAUGACGGUAACUUAUGAAUAAGGGUCGGCUAACUACGUGCCAGCAGCCGCGGUCAUACGUAGGACCCAAGCGUUAUCCGGAGUGACUGGGCGUAAAGAGUUGCGUAGGCGGUGUGUUAAGCGAAUAGUGAAAUCAUGUGGCUCAACCAUUAUGACUAUUGUUCGAACUGGCACACUCGAGAGUGGUAGAGGUAACUGGAAUUUCUAGUGUAGGAGUGAAAUCCGUAGAUAUUAGAAGGAACACCAAUGGCGUAGGCAGGUUACUGGACCAUUUCUGACGCUAAGGCACGAAAGCGUGGGGAGCGAACC